rnacentral:tRNA from 1 species
GUUAAUGUAGCUUAAGCAAAUAAAGCAAGGCACUGAAAAUGCCUAGAUGGGUGAAACCACUCCAUAAACA